rnacentral:rRNA from 1 species
GACAGAGGCCCCAAGCGUUAGGCGGAAUUACUGGGCGUAAAGCGUGCGCAGGCGGUCUGUUAAGACCGAUGUGAAAUCCCCGGGCUUAACCUGGGAACUGCAUUGGUGACUGGCAGGCUUUGAGUGUGGCAGAGGGAGGUAGAAUUCCACGUGUAGCAGUGAAAUGCGUAGAGAUGUGGAGGAAUACCGAUGGCGAAGGCAGCCUCCUGGGCCAACACUGACGCUCAUGCACGAAAGCGUGGGGAGCAAACAGG